rnacentral:rRNA from 1 species
GAAGGGUGCAAGCGUUACUCGGAAUUACUGGGCGUAAAGCGUGCGUAGGCGGUUUGUUAAGUCUGAUGUGAAAGCCCUGGGCUCAACCUGGGAAUGGCAUUGGAUACUGGCAAUCUAGAAUGUGGUAGAGGGUGGCGGAAUUCCCGGUGUAGCAGUGAAAUGCGUAGAUAUCGGGAGGAACAUCCGUGGCGAAGGCGGCCACCUGGACCAACAUUGACGCUGAGGCACGAAAGCGUGGGGAGCAAACAGGAUUAGAUACCCUGGUAGUCCACGCCCUAAACCGAUGCGAACUGGAUGUUGGGUUCAAUUGAGAACUCAGUAUCGAAGCUAACGCGUUAAGUUCGCCGCCUGGGAAGUACGGUCGCAAGACUG